rnacentral:rRNA from 1 species
GCACAAGCGGUGGAUGAUGUGGAUUAAUUCGAUGCAACGCGAAAACCUUACCUACCCUUGACAUGUCAGGAAUCCUGAAGAGAUUUGGGAGUGCUCGAAAGAGAGCCUGAACACAGGUGCUGCAUGGCUGUCGUCAGCUCGUGUCGUGAGAUGUUGGGUUAAGUCCCGCAACGAGCGCAACCCUUGCCAUUAGUUGCUACGAAAGGGCACUCUAAUGGGACUGCCGGUGACAAACCGGAGGAAGUGGGAUGACGUCAAGUCCUCAUGGCCCUUAUGGGUAGGGCUUCACACGUCAUACAAUGGUACAUACAGAGGGCUGCUAAAUCGUGAGAUGGAGCCAAUCCCAGAAAGUGUAUCGUAGUCCGGAUUGAAGUCUGCAACUCGACUUCAUGAAGUUGGAAUCGCUAGUAAUCGCGGAUCAGCAUGUCGCGGUGAAUACGUUCCCGGGUCUU